rnacentral:rRNA from 1 species
UGGGGAAUAUUGCACAAUGGGCGCAAGCCUGAUGCAGCGACGCCGCGUGGGGGAUGACGGCCUUCGGGUUGUAAACUCCUUUCGCUAGGGACGAAGCUUUUUGUGACGGUACCUAGAUAAGAAGCACCGGCUAACUACGUGCCAGCAGCCGCGGUAAUACGUAGGGUGCGAGCGUUGUCCGGAAUUACUGGGCGUAAAGGGCUCGUAGGUGGUUUGUCGCGUCGUCUGUGAAAUUCCGGGGCUUAACUCCGGGCGUGCAGGCGAUACGGGCAUAACUUGAGUACUGUAGGGGUAACUGGAAUUCCUGGUGUAGCAGUGAAAUGCGCAGAUAUCAGGAGGAACACCGAUGGCGAAGGCAGGUUACUGGGCAGUUACUGACGCUGGGGAGCGAAAGCAUGGGUAGCGAACAGG